CAUCUUCAUCGAAAGGGUUUUCUUAGCCUUUUAAUUUCAUUCACAUUGUCUCUCUCUCACAGGCGCCCUCUCACUCCUUCCAAAACUUAACCUCCUUCAAAUCCUCCAUCUCUGCCAACCCCCUCCAUGCCCUUCUUUCCCUCAGCCCCUACCUCCCCCGUGACCCCUUCAACGUCGCCACCCUCUGCCGUGCCACAAUAGUUUGGUUCCGCGACGACCUAUGUCUCCUCGACAACGAGCAUCCGUAGAGGUACAUAACAGAGAAUGUCUCGGAACCCAAAAGGAAUAUCGUUGUUCUGUUCCUGUUGGUGGAGAUUAACUCGAGAACCGCAUUCACUUGCAACACCUUUUUCAAAUUCAAAGAAUGAUUUACACGAAAGAGAUGAAGGAGAGGUUAAGUGGACAGGACAACCGCUAUGCAUUUAUGAACCUUAUUUUGAAGGAUUCUGGUCUUUUCCACAUCAAAAAUCUCUUUAUCGAGGAAUUGGCCUGACCGAAGACUAGGGAGAAAUGAUGUUGAUGCUCCUUCUUGUCCUCCACUGCUUAAUAAUAGUUACUAUCAAGAUUUACUUGGUGAAUAUGGAGCCUUUUUUGCAAUUGCAAACAGGAUUGAACGUUUACACAAAAAUGCUUGGAUUGGAUUUCAGUCUUGGAGAGCAACAACAAGGAAGAAAAUCAUUAGCUUAUGGUGGUCUUGCACGUGGCCUUCAUGAAGGUGCAAAAGGGAUCGAGAAGCAUGUUGUGCAACUAUGUUCUAGCAGAAGACUGUGACCAACCUGACUAUGUUAAAUUGGCUAAGGCCAUUUGUGUAGAGCACAAUGUUAGCCUACUGACAAUUCUGGGUGCAAAGACCCUUGGAAAAUGGGCUGGUUUGUGCAAGAUUGAUUCGGAAGGAAAAGCUAGGAAGGUUACUGGUUGCUUCUGCAGUUGUGCAGCAUUGACAGCAAGCUUGCAUCAGUUGAGGCUCGGGUUCUUCUUGCUCCAUGGUUGAAAUAUCACGAGACUGGAAGGAAGAAAGAAUGCUUGCCACAAGUUGGUCAAUGGAACAUGAUGAACAAGUGGACACAGUCUUGUGAGAACAAUUGUUGGACCAGUCAACCAGAUGAUCCUUUGGGCUUUAUAAAUUGGUUUAGGCUCUAACAACCAGUGAUUGCAUCAAUUGGGUAGCUUAGGAAAUUACGCCAGUGACUUAGGACUGCAUCAAAUUACUAAAGCUGAUUUGUAACAUGUACAUAGUGUUUGACUUAGGUUUUUUAGUUUCUUUUAAGAAAAGAAAAAAGUUGAGUUAAAACAUAUAUAUAUAUAUAUAUAUAUAUAUAUAGAGAGAGAGAGAGAGAGAGAGAGAGAGAGAGAGAGAGAGAGAAAGAAAGAGAGAGAGAGGGAUGAUUUGAAGCGGUGGGAAAUGAGUAUUGCUCAUGUUACUGGGACUUGCUUUACUCUAUUCCUUAUGAAUUGAUGCAUUUAGUAUCCAGUUGCUUGAUUGGAAGCUGACUCUGUUUGUGGCAGCGACUCUGUUGCAAUCCCUUUGGAAGAGUUUUGCCUAAUCUUUUCCGCAUAAACCAAUAUGUCUCUGGUAGUACAAAGACACGGGAGAGAAAACUACUCUUUUGAAUGGAGUGCACCAAUGUAAGAUAAUUCAGGUAGUUCAUUUACAAUUUCUUCACCACAGGUAGCACAAAUUUAUCAUUGCCUGAAUGAAACACAGUCCAACACUUGAUGUGCUUCACAUCAUUAAUAUAAUCAACAUUUUCUCUUUUCAAGGUUUCUCCAAGUCAUUCUCGAAUCAACUAUAAGGAAGGUGCCUUCUUUGAUGGGAUUGAAACCACAUCAUUGAAUUAUGUCAAAGAAGUCUUCUUUGGAUACCAUGUUUUGUUGAGUCAACAUCUUUGAUAGGAUUGAAACCACCUAUACUUUUUGUUCC